GACGUAGUUUGACUCCGUGGCUACGAGGACGAACGCUGGCGGCGUGCCUAACACAUGCAAAGUCGAACGAAGUUUUUAUGGAAUGCGACUUCGGUCAAAUGAAGUUUAAACUUAGUGGCGGACGGGUGAGUAACGCGUGAGAAACCUGCCUUUCAGUGGGGGACAACAGUUGGAAACGACUGCUAAUACCGCAUAAUGUAUCGAGAGGGCAUCCUCUUGAUACCAAAGAUUUAUUGCUGAAAGAUGGUCUCGCGUCUGAUUAGAUAGUUGGUGGGGUAACGGCCCACCAAGGCGACGAUCAGUAGCCGGUCUGAGAGGAUGAACGGCCACAUUGGGACUGAGACACGGCCCAAACUCCUACGGGAGGCAGCAGUGGGGAAUAUUGCACAAUGGAGGAAACUCUGAUGCAGCGAUGCCGCGUGAGGGAAGAAGGUUUUCGGAUUGUAAACCUCUGUCUUCGGGGACGAUAAUGACGGUACCUGAGGAGGAAGCUCCGGCUAACUACGUG
rnacentral:rRNA from 1 species